rnacentral:tRNA from 1 species
GCGGUAAUAGUUUAGUGGUAGAAUUGGGGACUGUGGAUCCCUCGAUGUGGGUUCGAUUCCCACUUACCGCC